rnacentral:rRNA from 1 species
AACGAACGCUGGCGGCAUGCUUAACACAUGCAAGUCUAGCGCCCCGCAAGGGGCUCGGCAGACGGCUGGGUAACGCGUGGGAACGUACCUUUUGGUUCGGAACAACUCCGGUAAACUUGAACUCAUACCGGAUUAGCUCUAACGGGGAAAUAUUUAUUGCCAAAAGAUCGGCCCGCGUCUGAUUAGCUAGUUGGUGAGGUAACGGCUCACCAAGGCGACGAUCAGUAGCUGGUCUGAGAGGAUGAUCAGCCACUCUGGGACUGAGACACGACCCAGACUAUUAAGGGAGGUGGCAAUGCGGAAUAUAGGACAACUGGCGCAAGUAUGAGCCAUACAGGCCGUGUGAGUGAUGAAGGCAUGAUGGAUGCAAAGAUCUAUAGAAUGGGAAGAUAAUGACUGUACCGGAAUAAGAAGAUCCGGAUAAAUUAGUG